rnacentral:rRNA from 1 species
AGCAGCCGCGGUAAUUCCAGCUCCAAUAGCGUAUAUUAAAGUUGUUGCAGUUAAAAAGCUCGUAGUUGAAUUUCGGAAUCUGUCCGUUGGUCGGGCUUAAUUGUCCGUACUGAUGUGAUGGGUUCUUACCUUCUGAAUAACCAGCAUGCCAUUAAUUUAGUGUGUUGGGGAAGCAGGACUAUUACCUUGAAAAAAUUAGAGUGCUCAAAGCAGGCUAAUGCCUGAAUACAUUAGCAUGGAAUAAUAAAAUAGGACGGCAUGGUUCUAUUUUGUUGGUUUCUAGGAUCACCGUAAUGAUUAAUAGGGAUAGUUGGGGGCAUUAGUAUUCAAUUGCCUGAGGUGAAAUUCUUGGAUUUAUUGAAGACUAACUACUGCGAAAGCAUUUGCCAAGGAUGUUUUCAUUAAUCAAGAACGAAAGUUAGGGGAUCGAAGACGAUCAGAUACCGUCGUAGUCUUAACCAUAAACUAUGCCGACUAGGGAUCGGAUGAUGUUAAUUUUUUAAUGUACUCAUUC